AUUGAACGCUGGCGGCAUGCCUUACACAUGCAAGUCGAACGGCAGCACGGGUGGUUGCACCUGGUGGCGAGUGGCGAACGGGGGAGUAAUACAUCGGAACAUGUACUUUCGUGGGGGAUAGCCCGGCGAAAGCGGGAUUAAUACUGCAUACGCUCUACGGCUGAAAGCGGGGGACGUUCGGGUCUCGCCCUUUCGGGUUGGCCGAUGGCGGAUUAGGUAGUUGGUGGGGUAAAGGCCUACCAAGGCGACGAUCAGUAGCUGGUCUGAGAGGACGACCAGCCACACUGGAACUGAGACACGGUCCAGACUCCUACGGGAGGCAGCAGUGGGGAAUAUUGGACAAAGGGCGAAAGCCUGAUCCAGCAAUGCCGCGUGUGUGAAGAAGGCCUUCGGGUUGUAAAGCACUUUUGUCCGGAAAGAAAACCUUGGCCCUAAUACGGUCGGGGGAUGACGGUACCGAAAGAAUAAGCACCGGCUAACUACGUG
rnacentral:rRNA from 1 species